UGGUUUUUGUAGUUGAAGUACAACAGUGAUUUUUCGUGUCGCAGGUCUCGGGCGAUUGGCCGGGUAAAA
rnacentral:tRNA from 1 species